UUACUUUUAUCAUGAGAGGAUGCACGAGAGAGAACAAUAGUUUUAUCUUGCACAAGUUCCCAAAUAUAAUCACGAUCCAUUUUUAUAUGUUUUGCACAUUCAUGGGGCAUAGGAUUGGUAGCAAUUCGAGUGGCACCGCACAAAGAUGUGUUGGUUAUGGAUAUGACAUAUCGGUCCAUAAGAAGUCGAUGAAGCCAAAUAACUGUUGUGCUGAUAGAUUA
rnacentral:lncRNA from 1 species